rnacentral:tRNA from 1 species
GAGGUUGUGGCUCAGUGGCAGAGCACUUGCCUAGCAUGUAUGAGGCACUGGGUUCAAUCCUCAGCACCACA